rnacentral:misc_RNA from 1 species
AAAGGACAUGAUUACCUCAGUCAUCACCUUCUGUUGUCGUUGCUUUACAACCCCAUGCUUCCAUAUCUCUUAGUCGCCGGAGUAAAUGAAUCAUCCUCGGGCAGUUGCCGGUCUUAUUAUAUUUCUCCUGUUCUCUGUCGGUAAUUUCACCGCCGUUCCACAACUCCGGCGAAAGCCUCAAGUUACAGGAGGUCUAUGUGCUCACCUCAUACAAUCUGCAGGUUUCCCUUGCACAGAGCACCAGACUAAGACAAAGGAUGGUUUCCUCCUUGGACUUCAACGUGUGUCAUCUCGCUCAACA